UCUACUCAAGGCAGAUUGAAGAGAUUGUUUGGCUGAAAAAUUAGUUUCCCUAGUUUCAGUAGUUUGACAGAGAGACAAGAACAAGCUAGUCCCUGGAGGCCGUUCUCUGGAGUGUAACAAAUCAGAGA
rnacentral:lncRNA from 1 species